AGAGUUUGAUCCUGGCUCAGAGUGAACGCUGGCGGUAGGCCUAACACAUGCAAGUCGAACGGCAGCACAGUAAGAGCUUGCUCUUAUGGGUGGCGAGUGGCGGACGGGUGAGGAAUACAUCGGAAUCUACCUUUUCGUGGGGGAUAACGUAGGGAAACUUACGCUAAUACCGCAUACGACCUUCGGGUGAAAGCAGGGGACCUUCGGGCCUUGCGCGGAUAGAUGAGCCGAUGUCGGAUUAGCUAGUUGGCGGGGUAAAGGCCCACCAAGGCGACGAUCCGUAGCUGGUCUGAGAGGAUGAUCAGCCACACUGGAACUGAGACACGGUCCAGACUCCUACGGGAGGCAGCAGUGGGGAAUAUUGGACAAUGGGCGCAAGCCUGAUCCAGCCAUACCGCGUGGGUGAAGAAGGCCUUCGGGUUGUAAAGCCCUUUUGUUGGGAAAGAAAAGCAGUCGGCUAAUACCCGGUUGUUCUGACGGUACCCAAAGAAUAAGCACCGGCUAACUUCGUGCCAGCAGCCGCAGUAAUACGAAGGGUGCAAGCGUUACUCGGAAUUACUGGGCGUAAAGCGUGCGUAGGUGGUUGUUUAAGUCUGUUGUGAAAGCCCUGGGCUCAACCUGGGCAUUGCAGUGGAUACUGGGCGACUAGAGUGUGGUAGAGGGUAGUGGCAUUCCCGGUGUAGCAGUGCAAUGCGUAGAGAUCGCGAGGCACAUCCAUGGCGAAGGCAGCUACCUGGCACAACACUGACACUGAGGCACGAAAGCGUGUGGGAGCAAACAGAUUAGAUACUCUGGUAGUCGAUGGCGACUUCGGUUAAACUGCAGGACUAGUCCUUUAUUGAG
rnacentral:rRNA from 1 species